rnacentral:ncRNA from 1 species
AAUGCCGGAGGUGGGAAACUGCGUUGCACCCACGCACCCUAUGGGUUAAAAGAGAUGUAGUAGAUAGCGACGGAUACCCGGCAUA